AAACCCCAGCCACCCUCUUCCAGCCUCUUCUCCCUGCAGCAUCCUUGGGUAUCUGAUUUGAGGCAAUUGCUUCUGUUCUGUGACAGGAAACCACCCCAGGAGGUCUGAGAGAAAUGAGGAAAGGAGGCGUCCAUCUCCAGCCCCAUUCAGACACGCUCCUGGGAGAGAACAGCUCACAUUUGGCUCACGCUUCUCAUAUGCCGAGCGCUCUGCUGUGUUACCUCAGUGACUUUCACUGACUCCCAAGGAAGUGAUGGGGAUGGGGAAACUGGAAUUCAAACCCAUUUCCAACUCCCUCCGGAUCUCGAGAGAUUAACCACAGACACAACUUUUCCUGAACACAGAACAAGAAGGCAAAAGGAAGCAGAGGUCCCUGUUUUCAGGAGAGGACAGGAGAAAGCAUUGUUGGUGCUCUGAGGGUGUCAGCCA
rnacentral:lncRNA from 1 species